AUGAACGCUGACGGCGUGCUUAACACAUGCAAGUCGAACGAAGCACUUUAUUUGAUUUCCUUCGGGACUGAUUAUUUUGUGACUGAGUGGCGGACGGGUGAGUAACGCGUGGGUAACCUGCCUUGUACAGGGGGAUAACAGUUGGAAACGGCUGCUAAUACCGCAUAAGCGCACAGCAUCGCAUGAUGCAGUGUGAAAAACUCCGGUGGUAUAAGAUGGACCCGCGUUGGAUUAGCUAGUUGGUGAGGUAACGGCCCACCAAGGCGACGAUCCAUAGCCGACCUGAGAGGGUGACCGGCCACAUUGGGACUGAGACACGGCCCAAACUCCUACGGGAGGCAGCAGUGGGGAAUAUUGCACAAUGGGCGAAAGCCUGAUGCAGCGACGCCGCGUGAGCGAAGAAGUAUUUCGGUAUGUAAAGCUCUAUCAGCAGGGAAGAUAAUGACGGUACCUGACUAAGAAGCACCGGCUAAAUACGUG
rnacentral:rRNA from 1 species